rnacentral:rRNA from 1 species
CUAGUGGCGGACGGGUGAGUAACGCGUGGGUAACCUGCCUUAUACAGGGGGAUAACAACCAGAAAUGGUUGCUAAUACCGCAUAAGCGCACAGGACCGCAUGGUCCGGUGUGAAAAACUCCGGUGGUAUAAGGUGGACCCGCGUUGGAUUAGCUAGUUGGCAGGGCAACGGCCUACCAAGGCGACGAUCCAUAGCCGGCCUGAGAGGGUGAACGGCCACAUUGGGACUGAGACACGGCCCAGACUCCUACGGGAGGCAGCAUG